UACGUAGGGCGCAAGCGUUGUCCGGAAUUAUUGGGCGUAAAGAGCUCGUAGGCGGCUUGUCACGUCGGGUGUGAAAGCCCGGGGCUUAACCCCGGGUCUGCAUUCGAUACGGGCAGGCUAGAGUGUGGUAGGGGAGAUCGGAAUUCCUGGUGUAGCGGUGAAAUGCGCAGAUAUCAGGAAGAACACCCGUGGCGAAGGCGGCUCUCUGGGACGGUACUGACGCUGAGGAACGAAAGCGUGGGUAGCAAACAGG
rnacentral:rRNA from 1 species